CGUGAUGUGUGCGUGGGUCAAAUGGUGGUUUUUGAUAUUAACAUUUUAAUCAUAACACUUUGCCAAAGCAUAGAAACUAAACAUUUUUGACCGUUUCACAGCAGAUUGAAGUAUAAGCACUCGCAUUUAGGUUGCUAAUAUGAAAAGAGAGGUUUCCCAAAGACCAAGAUGGCACCGGGCAAUAUGGCACCCCUCAACGCUUCACUAGGGCAGUUCACAAACCAAUGGGCGAAAUCAAGAAUUACAGCGAAUGAUUCCUGCCGGGGAGCUGCGGUGACUAAGUGAGCAAAUAGCCGGGUGAGCGAUAACGUCUGAGGAGCCAUCGUGCUGGGAGUGAGGACCUACUGUAUGUGCUGGCACCGGGCCCCUUCACGCUCCAUCUCUUACUCUCUCUCUCUCUCUCUCUCAAAUUACUUCUCCCUCUGUCCCUGCAAACAAGGU